AGGUACAAGAUCGCGCUGGGGCUGGGCUCCGCGCUGCGGUACCUCCACACGGAGUGCGAGCAGCGCGUCGUGCACGGGGACAUCAAGCCUGCAAACGUGAUGCUCGACGCGUCGGGCGACGCCAAGCUCGGCGACUUCGGGCUGGCGAGGCUCGUCGACCACGGCGCCGAGCCGCGGACGACGCAGGUGGUGGCGGGCACCGUCGGGUACAUCGACCCGGAGCUCGUCAACGGCCGCAGGCCGAGCGCCGAGUCCGACGUGUACAGCUUCGGCGUCGUGCUCCUGGAGAUCGCCUGCGGCAGGCGGCCGACGUCGAGGGGGCCGGGUCAGGCCUCGGCGGCGCUGCUGGCGUCGGUGCGGGAGAUGUACCGCCGGAACCAGAUCCUUGACGCGGCAGACAGGAGGCUGGGCGGCGGGUUCGACAGGCCGCAGAUGGAGCGUCUGCUCGUGACGGGGCUUUGGUGCGCGCACCACGAUCCGAUGCAGCGGCCGUCGGUGACGCAGGCUGUCGAUGUGCUACGAUCUGAGGACGCGAAGCUGCCGGUGCUUGAAGCGGUGCGCGGUUCUGGGGAGGGCGAGAUUCACUCCUUGGAGGGACAUGCUUAUGGUGAUCUGCCCGCCGAGGACUCUUCUCGUUUGCAUGAAACUGCGUACCCUACUUCUUCCGAGGACUGA
rnacentral:rRNA from 1 species